rnacentral:rRNA from 1 species
AACGAACGCUGGCGGCAUGCCUAACACAUGCAAGUCGAACGAGACCUUCGGGUCUAGUGGCGCACGGGUGCGUAACGCGUGGGAAUCUGCCCUUGGGUUCGGAAUAACUCAGAGAAAUUUGAGCUAAUACCGAAUGAUGUCGCAAGACCAAAGAUUUAUCGCCCAAGGAUGAGCCCGCGUAGGAUUAGCUUGUUGGUGAGGUAAAAGCUCACCAAGGCGACGAUCCUUAGCUGGUCUGAGAGGAUGAUCAGCCACACUGGGACUGAGACACGGCCCAGACUCCUACGGGAGGCAGCAGUGGGGAAUAUUGGACAAUGGGCGAAAGCCUGAUCCAGCAAUGCCGCGUGAGUGAUGAAGGCCUUAGGGUUGUAAAGCUCGUUUACCAGGGAUGAUAAUGACAGUACCUGGAGAAUAGGCUCCGGCUAACUCCGUG